GUAGGUGGCAAGCGUUGUCCGGAAUUAUUGGGCGUAAAGCGCGCGCAGGCGGUUCUUUAAGUCUGAUGUGAAAGCCCACGGCUCAACCGUGGAGGGUCAUUGGAAACUGGAGAACUUGAGUACAGAAGAGGAAAGCGGAAUUCCACGUGUAGCGGUGAAAUGCGUAGAGAUGUGGAGGAACACCAGUGGCGAAGGCGGCUUUCUGGUCUGUAACUGACGCUGAGGCGCGAAAGCGUGGGGAGCAAACAGGGAUUAGAUACCCUGGUAGUCCACGCCGUAAACGAUGAGUGCUAAGUGUUAGGGGGUUUCCGCCCCCUUUAGUGCUGCAGCUAACGCAUUAAGCACUCCGCCUGGGGAUACGGCCGCAAGGCUG
rnacentral:rRNA from 1 species